GACGAACGCUGGCGGCGUGCCUGAUACAUGCAAGUCGAGCGAAUCAAUGGGAGCUUGCUCCCUGAGAUUAGCGGCGGACGGGUGAGUAACACGUGGGUAACCUGCCUGUAAGACUGGGAUAACUUCGGGAAACCGGAGCUAAUACCGGAUACGUUCUUUUCUCGCAUGAGGAGAGAUGGAAAGAUGGUUCUGCUAUCACUUACAGAUGGACCCGCGGCGCAUUAGCUAGUUGGUGAGGUAACGGCUCACCAAGGCGACGAUGCGUAGCCGACCUGCGAGGGUGGUCGGCCACACUGGUGCUGGGACACGGCCCAGACUCCUACGAGAGGCAGCAGUAGGGAGUCUUCCGCAAUGGACGAACGUCUGACGGAGCAACUCCGCGUGAGCGAAGAAGGCCUUCGGGUCGUAAAGCUCCGUUGUUAGGGAAGAACAAGUACGAGAGUAACUGCUCGUACCUUGACGGUACCUAACCAGAAAGCCACGGCUAACUACGUGCCAGCCGCCGCCGUAAGAC
rnacentral:rRNA from 1 species